rnacentral:rRNA from 1 species
GAUGAACGCUGGCGGCGUGCCUAAUACAUGCAAGUCGAGCGAACAGACGAGGAGCUUGCUCCUCUGACGUUAGCGGCGGACGGGUGAGUAACACGUGGAUAACCUACCUAUAAGACUGGGAUAACUUCGGGAAACCGGAGCUAAUACCGGAUAAUAUAUUGAACCGCAUGGUUCAAUAGUGAAAGACGGUUUUGCUGUCACUUAUAGAUGGAUCCGCGCCGCAUUAGCUAGUUGGUAAGGUAACGGCUUACCAAGGCAACGAUGCGUAGCCGACCUGUGAGAGUGGUAGCCCGCACUGGAAGGGGAACGGCGUCCAUGCGCCUGCGGGAGGGAGCAGAAGGGAACCGUCCGCAGUGGGGGAGAGCCUGGCGGAGCGGCGCCAAGUGAGUGGUGGAGACGCUGGGAUCGGAAAACUCUGUUAUUAGGGAAGAACAAAUGUGGAAGGAAAUAUGCACGUAUUGACGGUACCGAAUCAGAAAGCAACGGCUAACUACGUG